AUUGAACGCUGGCGGCAGGCCUAACACAUGCAAGUCGAGCGGAUGAAGGGAGCUUGCUCCUGGAUUCAGCGGCGGACGGGUGAGUAAUGCCUAGGAAUCUGCCUGGUAGUGGGGGAUAACGUCCGGAAACGGGCGCUAAUACCGCAUACGUCCUGAGGGAGAAAGUGGGGGAUCUUCGGACCUCACGCUAUCAGAUGAGCCUAGGUCGGAUUAGCUAGUUGGUGGGGUAAAGGCCUACCAAGGCGACGAUCCGUAACUGGUCUGAGAGGAUGAUCAGUCACACUGGAACUGAGACACGGUCCAGACUCCUAAGGGAGGCAGCAGUGGGGAAUAUUGGACAAUGGGCGAAAGCCUGAUCCAGCCAGGCCGCGUGUGUGAAGAAGGUCUUCGGAUUGUAAAGCACUUUAAGUUGGGAGGAAGGGCAGUAAGUUAAUACCUUGCUGUUUUGACGUUACCAACAGAAUAAGCACCGGCUAACUUCGUG
rnacentral:rRNA from 1 species